rnacentral:rRNA from 1 species
AUGGUAUGCGGGUUUACUCGUGUUCUUUCGAGUGCACUUCCUUACUUGCUAGUUAGCAUCAAUUUUGGUUAUCAUAUAAAAAUUGAGGGAAGGUGGCUUUUCUUCGGAAAAGUGUUAUAGACCUCGAGAAAUGUGGUGACCGGGAWUGAGGAUUGCAGCGGAUACCCUUUAGGGCUAGUCACCUGGCUUCUGAUGAUUACCCCGUCUUCGAUAGCUUGCUAACGUUGGUGGGAUUCAAUUGUCUAGAUGUUAGAGUGAU